UUGGCUUCUGGGGAAAGAGCAGCUUCCUCAUUGGUCUACACCUUUGGAAUCUCUUCCCUAAGUAGGCCUGAGUCAGUGAAAAGCUUCUAGAGGGCGGGACAGAAUGUGGGUAUUAGGUAGAGGACGGGGUUGCUGACCAGUUGCACUUCGGCCCGGCUCCUAGUUUCUAACCAUAAGUGUUCCUACUACCCUCAGGUGAAGACCGUGCUAUAAAUCUUUCGUUAGGAAGCUGCUGCUUGGGCGGCUCUCUCUCUGCGACUGAGAAAUCUUCCACAAGAAAAGUCUCCUCUGUUUUGGAAGGGCCCUCCCAGGAGGGGUGGACUAGAUCGCUCUAGUGAAUGCUGCGACCAGACGAGGUGCGCAGUCCUCCCACAAAAGCCCUCACGAGUCAUUCCAAAGGAAGAGCCUGCUGCCCUGAGGGCUGAUUACCACCAUCAGGUCUGCUCACUCCUGUUGCUUCUCCUGCUCAACCUUUCCUUAGAGAGCUAUCUCCUGCUGCAGAGGUCAGCGAAUCCGUUUUGGAGUUGUCGAAAAGAACCACUCACGGCUCCAGAAAGGAGGGGCUGUAGCCCUUUAAGGACUUCGCCAGGAUGGAUUCGGAGAACCGUUUAAAAAUGCCAACUCACAGAGCGCGCUGGAUUCUGGGAGCGAGAUUUCAGACCGGGAACUACAUUGACCAGUAUGCACUGCAAACACACACGCCUUUACUUCCUACUGCUUUUUAGGACUCGGCUUUGACGUAGCGCUCUUCUAAGCAAGUAGCCUAGGCGGAGGACUGUGCCACGCCUUUUCACCUAUUGGCCAGAUCACAAGUUGGUGGGCGUGGCUUAGCGCAAUUCCGCUAGGCAAAGGGGUGGUCUCCUUGCCAAUCAGAGCUAAGGCGGUCGGGGAGGCGGGACCAGGGCGAAGCGCUGGCGCCCCCGAGUGGGUGUGGUCACGCUGCCCAGCAGUGGGCGGUGAUUGGCCCUGGGCGGUGCAAUCGCAGCUUGUGCGUCACGACGCCGCCAGCUGAUCGGAGACUGGAGCCGGUGUGUGCUGGGCGCUGGGAAGAGACAGCGCCGCCGGCCGUGGGGGACGGACGCACUGAUUUGCUCCCCUACCUUCAACAACCCCCCACCCAGCACCAGGAAGCUGUACCUCCCACAUCCUCACCUGGCUGAGCCGCAGUAGUUCUUCAGUGGCAAGCUUUAUGUCCUGACCCAGCUAAAGCUGCCAGUUGAAGAACUGUUGCCCUCUGCCCCUGGCUUCGAGGAGGAGGAGGAAGAGGAGAAGGAGCUGCUUUCCCCCUCACCUGGAAGGUGACAGAACUCGGGCUGGGAAGGUCUGAACAGCGAGAGUGAUGAUACCUUUUGGGAAAGGGAACCCUAUUCAGUUGGAGAACCUUCACCCAGAUUGACCCAGCAAGAGAGAAAAUUUCAGAUUAGAGACUCUGGCUGAACUGGGGAAUAGAUGGCUCUGACUGCCCAGGGUUAGUUGGUCUUUGUGUGACAGUGGGAGAAAGUGGAGCCAAGAAAACCCUGUCUACCCCUUUACCAGAUGUCUUUCUUGACCCUCCUUCCUUCCUCGUCCCCCAUUUUUUUCUACAGGUCUUUCCGGGUGAAAUCCCAAAGGAAGUUUCCUCUUCAGGGCAAAGGUCAUACUGAGACACCCAUCUGAGUGGUCCCCUGCCCCUGCUCUUACUUUUUCCAUGUUUCCUUGGUCUGGCCCAGACUCUAGAUUCAGGGAUACUCACGUCUGUGGGAGACCCUUAGACCUCCUGUCUCAGCUUCUCCACCUGUGAGGGGGGAAUCACACAGUUGAGCAUGCAUGAGGAAAUCAGAAGCCCUUGUGCAGACUCAGAGCCUGGACUCUACUCUCCCUGUGGGUGGGAACAAAACAGCUUUUCACGUCUUAAGCUAUUGCCCUUCCCCCAUCCCUGUAUAGAUCCCCAGGAGCAGGGGGGUAGGGUGUGGAGGGAGUUGAGGGAGGGGCUAGGGCUAGACCAAUGCAAGAUGUUGGUGGGAGCUCAUUCUCUGCAUUGACUGCCUACCAUGUGAAGGUGGCCCAGGCUUCCCCUGCCUCCCAAAGCAGAACUGCAGCCCCUGAUGGGGUUCCAGCUGCCUCUGCUCUCUUCCUUCACUUCACUUUCUUGGAUAGUGUGUGAGACUCAGCUCAAGCCUGUGCAGGCAGGAAAUUCUCCCCUCCAGCAGCCAGGGGAAGAUGGGUAAUAGGAUGUGACCCAUUUGGGGGAAUCAGGCAUUGUAAACUUGCCACCCACGGCUCCUGAUCUAAUCUCCUUCUCAGGCUCAGGCUCUGAUGUGGUUUAGCCUUGGCCAAGGCUCCCUGCCUGAAGGCGACCGAGUUCAGGGGUUAUAGGGAGCUGUUUGUUCUGUUUGGGGACAGGAGUUGUACAGGGAGCUGGGUCCUAUUCUCCAUUUAUGAGAAACAGAUUUAGGAGGGAGUAGAUCAUUGAAUCCACCCUUCUGCAGCCUAAGCUGGAUGUGAGUGGGACUGCGGUAGAGGGAGGUGGGUAGACUGAGUCUACUCGUCGGCUGCAACAAAGAUCACUCUGUCCCCGGACAUUGCUUCCCUCCUUUCUUCCCCUCCUCGCUUUGCUGGCUACAGUGUAUCCAUCCAGCCUUUGGUAUGUGGCUCUGCCAUCCUCACCCAUCAUGGAGCAGAAAUGAGGAAGAGCAGCCUGGGAACACAGAGGCAGGCAGAAGACCAGUGAAGGACCAGUUCUGGAGAACACAGGGUCCUGUCUGGGCAUCCUGAGAGAGGGCUCAUAAAGGCCAGGACCAUCCCAGGACAGCCAGCCUCCAUCGAGGACAAGCUUCCAGCCAUCUACUUCAUUCUCCAUUUGUCUCCAGUCUUUCUGCCUCCCUGAGAUGUGAGACUGUAUUAAAGUGUCCUUGGCUUCAUUCUCCUGCUUCCACCUCUCCCCCACCCUGUAAUUUUUAUAUAAGUACCCUCCAGGAGCAAGAACCAGCUGUGAAAGGACAUACACAGAAAAUUCAGAAAAGAAAUUCAAAUGGAUAAAACCCUGGGGGAAAAAUGUAUGCUUCAUUAGUAAUUACAGAGGCAAAUAUAGCUGAAAGCAUUUUUCUGGUAGCAAACUAUAACAAAAAAUAAGACCCAGUUAUUGGCAAAAGGAGUACUAAAAUAACACUCCCAUAUAUUGCAUAUGGGGAUACAAACUGAUACAGCCUUACUGAUGUCAGUUUGGUAAUAUGUAUCAAACAUCUUAAAAGUUCCAUGGCCUUUGACCUAGUCAUUCUACAUUUGGGAAUUUAUCCUAAGAAAAUAAAGAUUAGUUAUAAGAUGUUCAUCCCAGCAUUGCAGUUGAGAAAAAUAGGAAGCAACUAUCUGGUUGGGAAUUCAUUUCUUUGCUGCUGCAAUGAAAAUUUGCAAGAGGGGAUUGCUUAAGUAAGUUAUUGUAUAUCCAUCCAGAUGGUAGAGUACUGCGCAGCCAUUUAAAGUCACAUAGAAGAACAUUUGACUGGAAAGAAAAAUGCUCUUUGAAUAUUAAAAAGGUUAUAAAAAUGGUGUGUAUUCUGUAAUCUCAGUUUUGGUUUUUUUAAAAUAUGGAUGUAUACUUGUAUACAUAAAGCAGUUUAAAGAAGAAACUGAGGACGUACUCCAAAUUGUUAAUAACAGUGGUUAUCUUUGGAGGGUGGAAUAAAGUCAUUGUAAUUUUCCUCUUUGGUUUCUCUGUAAUUGCCAAAUUUUCUACAGUAAUUGUGUAUGGCUUUCAUAUAAUAAAUAAAAUUUAAGAGAA